GAUGAAGAACGUAGCGAAACGCGAUAAGUAAUGUGAAUUGCAGAAUCCAGUGAAUCAUCGAAUCUUUGAACGCACAUUGCGCCCGCCAGCAUUCUGGCGGGCAUGCCUGUUCGAGCGUCAUUUCAACCCUCGACCUCCCCUUGGGGAGGUCGGCGUUGGGGACCGGCAGCACACCGCCGGCCCUGAAAUGGAGUGGCGGCCCGUCCGCGGCGACCUCUGCGCAGUAAUACAGCUCGCACCGGGACCCCGACGCGGCCACGCCGUAAAACACCCAACUUCUGAACGUUGACCUCGAAUCAGGUAGGACUACCCUCUGAACUUAAGCAUAUCAAUAAGCGGAGGA
rnacentral:misc_RNA from 1 species